rnacentral:lncRNA from 10 species
AACACUUCUAAGACAUGUCAGCAUGUGCCUUGCUGAAACAGGUGACAUUUAAGUCAAAUCUCGAAAAAGGAGCAAGCUGAGGUUCAUUUCAUGACAUGACACUGCCUCUCAAGUGAGAAGAGAAUAAAAAAUGUCCAUCUGAUUCUGAAACUGUAAAGAUACUAAUGACCUUAGUAAGCAAUGUGGAGUGGAGCCAAGUGGAAGAGCUGAAUAGCUGUGAAGCUCUCCUGGUUCUCAGGCUUUUAGAAUUGGAAUGGAAUCUACACCACCAGGUCUCUGGCUUUCAGGCCUUCAAACCACACAACUGGCUUUCCUGGGUCUCCAGCUUGCAGACAGCAGAUCAUGGGACUUCUCAGUCUCCAUAAUUGCAUGAGCCAAUAUGUUAUAAAAAACUCUUUUUAUA